ACGUGAGGCUCAAAAUGGGCCGUUCUAAUGGUAACAUGAGAAUAGAACUCAGCUAUAUCGGUGAAACCCUUCGACAAGCUCAGGGCAACACCGAGGGAACCACGUUCAACUAUAGCAUGAACGGGGACACCGUAGAGACUACACGCUGAGCUCCCGAAAUAUCGGGAUGAUGAUAUAGUCCGACACUCUAAGUAAUUGGAGA
rnacentral:ncRNA from 1 species